AGAGUUUGAUCAUGGCUCAGGACGAACGCUGGCGGCGUGCCUAACACAUGCAAGUCGAACGGGGCCGGGGGCAACUCCGGUUCAGUGGCGGACGGGUGCGUAACACGUGAGGAACAUGACUUUCGGUGGGGGAUAGCCGGCCCAACGGCCGGGUAAUACCGCGUACGACCUUUUGGGGACCUCCCUGAUUGGUGAAAGCAGCAAUGCGCCGAAAGAGUGCCUCGCGGCCUAUCAGCUAGUUGGUGGGGUAACGGCUCACCAAGGCGACGACGGGUAGCUGGUCUGAGAGGAUGGCCAGCCACAUUGGGACUGAGACACGGCCCAGACUCCUACGGGAGGCAGCAGUAGGGAAUUGUUCGCAAUGGGCGCAAGCCUGACGACGCAACGCCGCGUGGAGGAUGAAGGACUUCGGUUCGUAAACUCCUUUCGACCGAGAUGAACAGCUCUCGACCUAAUACGUUGAGAGCCUGACAGUAUCGAGGGAAGCAGCCCCGGCUAACUCCGUGCCAGCAGCCGCGGUAAUAC
rnacentral:rRNA from 1 species